rnacentral:misc_RNA from 1 species
UCACUUACUGCCGAAGGCAGCAAAUGCGCCUUCGGCGCGUGCUCGCGCAAAGCGCGAGCUAUAAAGAAUACAUUUCUACUUCCGGGUCUGGGGACCCGUAAACUGCAGCAAGGGUUAAUAUGAGACACAAGAAUUCCGGCAGAUGCAAACAGAAGUGAUGGAUUUAUUGAGGAUUACAUCAAAUAAUCCAGGAGCUGUGAAUCAGUAAACAAAAAUGGAUAAAGUCGAAACCAAAGAAGAAGCUUCUGAAAUAAUCUCGAAAAGUGUACGCGUUUUCUGAAAGAAAUUAAUAAAGAGUGUUGACUACA